GACCAUUGAGCCCAAUCCCACCUCAUCUUUUCAGGGUCCCAUGAGGGAGGGAUGGGGGGGAGGGAGCGCCACAUCGCGCUCUCUGCCCCGUCACUUCCGGCUUGCCCUUGGCCGCCGCCACUCCCUCUCUUGCACUCGGUCGCCGCCGCCGCUCUUGUUUGUUAUAUGAUGUUUGUAAGACUAUAAUGUUGUUGCUCUGUGUUUUGUUAGAAUUUUUUGUUUUGUGAACAAAAUAGAGCUCUAGAGGACCAGGGAUGUUCUAUUUUUGUUCUAACCUUACUUUUUUGUGAAAUUUUAUUCUAAAUGUAGAAUUAAAGAUGAAGAGGAAUGGUGACAUCAAAUCCUUUUUUUGGAAUUAUGAAGCAAAAAUAGGAAAGGUUGCAGGCGAAGAACAACCUGAACCUGAUAUUGAUCCACCUCUAGUACAUUCGAAUACAACGAUUGUCAUUGAUAUUGAUCCACCUUCAGUCCAUUCUGAUCUAGAGAUUGACAUUGUUAUUGAUCCACGUCCAAUACAUUUCGGUCGAGAGAUUGUCAUUGACAUUGACGAUGAAACCCCCAAAAAUGAAAAGCAAAAAUAAACCAUAAACCGUAAACCCUAAAACCAUAAAACCCUACCCCCCCCACCCACCCCCCUGAAAACACAAAAUCUUUAAUUCCGAUUGAUGACACCAACCGGGACUAAAGGUCCUCCAUCCCCUGCCGCACGCUCGUGGUCACGUGGAGGGACUUUAGUCCCGGGUUGUGAUGAAAGUCCCGGUUGGCGACCCAUGAUUAAAUCCCUUUCCCAACCGAGAUUAAAUUUCCGUUCUCCACUAGUGAGGGUCUGUCCGUGAAACGAGGGAAGUUGAGCAACCGCCCCGCUUGCGCAUGGUAGAGUCCCUGGUAUACAAUGAAAUACCAGGCUUGGCUCGGAGUGCUCGUCUUGACGCGCACUUAUCCUACCAAGACUUAGUGCCUGUUCAGAAGUCCACCAGCUCUCAAAAACAUGAGAAUCUGCAGAGCGUCAAUUUCUCUGCUCCGUUAUCUGCAACUGCAGCUCCGUCCGCUCCGGAAGCAGAGUGGAGAGCCUCCAAACAGGCCCCUAAAAAACACAUUCUUUAUACAGCAUUAUGUGUGGAUUAACAUGAACCAUAAUAUUACGAUAUAUGUUUCGUGCAGCACAUGAUGGAUCCAUAAUUCAUAACAACAAUGAUAAAUACGGGGGACAGAGUCAUCUGAAAACCAUCUCACAAAGCGGUAGUACAUUUCUAUAAUAAGACGCCAUUAGGGAUCUGAAGCAAGGAUAGGUAAUGUGUCUACCAACCUUCUGCUGAGCCCUUGCUCACCUUUAUGAUGCACACUACCUGUGUAAUAGUAUUGCUGGCAGACAUAUCUUUCUUCUUUAGCCCUUUACAUAUACCUAGCUCUGCUAACUAGGAGAGGACACACGAGUGGAUGUUGGUUUGCAGGAAAAGAUUUGUAGAACAUCAAAUACACAAACAAGUGGCAUCAAUUUGGAGUUGGAUGUGUGUUGUGUGUUGGGAAUGAGGGGCAUGCGGAACACGUCCUAUGUUCUAGCUUGCAUGAGACUUGCUCCACUUCCAAUAGUAUGUAACGUAAGCAACAAUGAAGCGCGUGACAGGGUUGCCUGUAGAGGAGGCCGACACUGACUAGCUGGUGGAGGGAGCUUUGCAGAAGAAUCUCAACAUGUACAGGCUCAAGAGAUUGAAGAAAGAUCUGACGAAUAAGUGUCCGGAGCGCCAUUUGCCACAGAGUGAAAAAGUGGCUCAACACAUGACAGCAAAACACCUCCACGGCAGCUUGACAUAUUACACGACACACCUCCACGGCUAUUGCAAGAUGCUACGAAAGGAUGACAUUCAGAGCACACCUGCAUGUAUUGCAAUAUAUGGCUUGACAGUAGGUACAGAGGGAUUACAUGCUACGUGAUAUCCGUGGCGUCCUUUAGGGCAACACAACGUUAAUGUGAUUGUGUUAGAUACGACGGGUGAGUAAAAUUUCUUAUACGAAAUUUACAUCUACUGGACAACGCGACUUAUCAAUUCACAUUAAUAUGAAUAUGAAUUUACAGAAACAUCAUUGUCUAGAAAAAAUGAAACAAAAUCAAUAAUGAGAAAAUAGAUCACAACAGACAGUCAUGUCCAUAAGUCCAUUGCGGUUGAGCCUACCAGACAACUCAAGCUGCAAAGUUCGGUUGAAAAUCAAAAUCAAUAGUUCGGUUGAACACCAGACGACCAAUACGGCAGGGGACGGUGGCCACACAUACAAGGUGGUAGUCCGGUAUAGGAUUUAGCUUAUUUUAGUUAAACUCACAAAAUAUCGAUCUUUUUAUGUAAAUUAUAUCCUAACUUGAAUGAAAUCCGUUUAGUUUGCACAGAUUUCAUUUAACUAAUAUCCGUUUAGUAGGUACAGAGGGAGUACAUGCUACUGAUAUCCGUGGGCAACACAGCGUUAAUGUGAUUGUGUUAGAUACGACGGGUGAGUAAAAUUUCUUAUACGAAAUUUACAUCUACUAGACAACGCGACUUAUCAAUUCACAUUAAUAUGAAUAUGGAUUUACAGAAACAUCAUUGCCUAGAAAACAUGAAACAAAAUCAAUAACGAGAAAAUAAAUCACAACAGACAGUCAUGUCCAUAAGUCCAUUACGGUUGAGCCUACCAGACAACUCAAGCUGCAAAGUUCGGUUGAAAAUAAAAUCAAAAGUUUGAUUGAAAACCAGACGACCAAUACGGCAGGGCAGGGUGGCCACACAUACAAGGUGGUAGUCGGGUAUAGGGUUCAGCUUUUUUAUCUAGUUAAACUGACAGAAUAUAUAUCUUUUUGUGUAAAUCUCUUAUUUACUAAUUGGAGGCACCUUUCAUGACUUCUCAUUAAUCCACGUCAUCAAAAUUAAUUAACCGUUGGAUUACAAAAUUUAUGAUCGGAUAAACUGAAAAGUUAUGUAGUGUAGAUGAUGCCUUUCCUAUAGAAAAAGGAACCUAACACGUGUAAUUCAAACUUUAUAGAAGAGAAAAAACAAGGAUAACCUCACCACGUACGAAACAAAAGGCAAGCCUCGGCAGGUAGAAAAUAAAUGACAAGCCUCACGGCAAAAACCAAUUCCUACAGAAAAAACAGAUCUGAGACGUCCAAAGCAAACAAGAAAAGCUUGACGUACAAAAUAAAAGGAAACCAUCAGGUAGAAAAAACAAGGUAAGUCACCACCCCUUCACACGUAUUGCUCGCAGACAUAUCUUCCUUCUUUAGCCCUUUACAUAUACCUACUCUCCUAACUAGGAGAGGACACAGGAGCCACACGAGUGGAUGUUGGUUUGCAGGAAAAGAUUUGUAGAACAUCAAGUACACAAACAAUAGUAUGAAUUUGGAGUUCGAUGUGUGUUGUGUGUUGGGAAUGAGGGGCAUGCGGAACAUGUCCUAUGUUCUACUCCCUCCGUUUUUAAAUAUAAGUCUUUUAAGCGAUUUCACUAAUGGUCUACAUACAGAGCAAAAUGAUUGAAUCUAUACUCUAAAGUAUGUCUAUAUACAUCCGUAUGUAGUCCAUUAGUGAAAUCUCUACAAAGACUUAUAUUUAGAAACGGAGGGAGCAGCUUGCAUCAGACUUGCUCCACUUCCUAUAGUAUGUAACGUAAGCAACAAUGAAGCGCCAUUUGAAGGUUGCGUGUAGAGGAGGCCAACACUGACUAGCUGGUGGAGGGAGCUUUGCAGAGGAAUCUCAACAUGUACAGUACAUGCUCAAGAGAUUGAAGAAAGAUCUGCCGGAGGACUGUCCGGAGCGCCAUUUGCCACAGAGAGAAAAAGUGGCACAAAACAUGACAGCAAAACACCUCCACCGCAGCUUACAUAUUACACGACACACCUCCACGGCUCUUGCAAGAUGCUAAGAAAGGAUGACAUUCAGAGCGCACCUGCAUGUAUUGCAAGUUCGCAACAUAUGUCUUGGAAGUAGAUAAAGCAUAUACGUGCAACAUGAUAUCCUAGGAGUCCUGCAGGGCAACGCAAUGUUAAUGUGAUUGUGUUAGAUACGAAGAAUGAGUAAAAUUUCUUAUACGAAAUUUGCAUCUACUGGACAACGCGACUUAUCAAUUCACAUUAAUAUAAAUAUGAAUUUACGGAAACAUCAUUGCCUAGAAAACAUGAAACAAAAUCAAUAACAAGAAAAUAGAUCACAACAGACAGUCAUGUCCAUAAGUCCAUUACGGUUGAGCCUAGCAGACAACUCAAGCUGCAGAAUUCGGUUGAAAAUCCAAAUCAAAAGUUAAAUUGAAAACCAGACGACCAAUACGGCAGGGCAGGG
rnacentral:lncRNA from 1 species